AAUAGAUACCCUGGUAGUCCACGCCGUAAACGAUGAGUGCUAAGUGUUAGAGGGUUUCCGCCCUUUAGUGCUGCAGCUAACGCAUUAAGCACUCCGCCUGGGGAGUACGGUCGCAAGACUGAAACUCAAAGGAAUUGACGGGGGCCCGCACAAGCGGUGGAGCAUGUGGUUUAAUUCGAAGUCAACGCGAAGAACCUUACCAAGUCUUGACAUCCUCUGACAACUCUAGAGAUAGAGCGUUCCCCUUCGGGGGACAGAGUGACAGGUGGUGCAUGGUUGUCGUCAGCUCGUGUCGUGAGAUGUUGGGUUAAGUCCCGCAACGAGCGCAACCCUUGAUCUUAGUUGCCAGCAUUUAGUGGGCACUCUAAGGUGACUGCCGGUGACAAACCGGAGGAAGGUGGGGGAUGGACGUCAAAUCAUCAUGCCCCUUAUGACCUGGGCUACACACGUGCUACAAUGGAUGGGUACAAAAGGGCUGCAAAGACCGGCAGGGUCAAGCCAAAUCCCAUAAAAACCAUUCUCAGUUCGGGAUUGUAGG
rnacentral:rRNA from 1 species